GAUCUGGCUCAGGAUGAACGCUAGCUACAGGCUUAACACAUGCAAGUCGAGGGGCAGCAGGAUUGUGCUGCACAGAUGCUGGCGACCGGCGCACGGGUGAGUAACGCGUAUCCAACCUUCCCCAUAGGUAGAGGAUAGCCCGGCGAAAGUCGGAUUAAUACUCUAUGUUGUACAACGAGGACAUCUGAAUUGUACCAAGAUUCAUCGCUAUGGGAUGGGGAUGCGUCUGAUUAGGUAGUCGGCGGGGUAACGGCCCACCGAGCCUACGAUCAGUAGGGUUCUGAGAGGAAGGUCCCCCACAUUGGUACUGAGACACGGACCAAACUCCUACGGGAGGCAGCAGUGAGGAAUAUUGGUCAAGUGGGCGAGAGCCUGAACCAGCCAAGUAGCGUUGCAGGACGACUGCCCUAUGGGUUGUAAACUGCUUUUAUAGGGGAAUAAAGUGAGGCACGUGUGCCUUUUUGUAUGUACCCUAUGAAUAAGGACCGGCUAAUUCCGUGCCAGCCGCGGC
rnacentral:rRNA from 1 species